AGUGAACGCUGGCGGUAGGCCUAACACAUGCAAGUCGAACGGCAGCACAGUAAGAGCUUGCUCUUACGGGUGGCGAGUGGCGGACGGGUGAGGAAUACAUCGGAAUCUACUUUUUCGUGGGGGAUAACGUAGGGAAACUUACGCUAAUACCGCAUACGACCUACGGGUGCAAGCAGGGGAUCUUCGGACCUUGCGCGAUUGAAUGAGCCGAUGUCGGAUUAGCUAGUUGGCGGGGUAAAGGCCCACCAAGGCGACGAUCCGUAGCUGGUCUGAGAGGAUGAUCAGCCACACUGGAACUGAGACACGGUCCAGACUCCUACGGGAGGCAGCAGUGGGGAAUAUUGGACAAUGGGCGCAAGCCUGAUCCAGCCAUACCGCGUGGGUGAAGAAGGCCUUCGGGUUGUAAAGCCCUUUUGUUGGGAAAGAAAAGCAGCAGGUGAAUACCCCGCUGUUCUGACGGUACCCAAAGAAUAAGCACCGGCUAACUUCGUG
rnacentral:rRNA from 1 species